rnacentral:rRNA from 1 species
UACGUAGGGACCGAGCGUUGUCCGGAAUCAUUGGGCGUAAAGAGCGUGUAGGCGGCCACUUAAGUCCUGCGUGAAAUCUUGCGGCUCAACCGCAAGCGGUCGUGGGAAACUGGGUGGCUAGAGUGCGGGAGAGGAGAGUGGAAUUCCUGGUGUAGCGGUGGAAUGCGCAGAUACCAGGAAGAACACCCGUGGCGAAGGCGGCUCUCUGGAACGCAACUGACGCUGAGACGCGAAAGCGUGGGGAGCAAACAGG